UCACUUGGUUUUCUUCUCUCGUCAUGACUCCUUGCUGGAUGGUUCGGGUCACCCAACAGAUGCUAGUCGAGACGAGCAACAUGAUCUGAUAAUAGAUCAGAAACUAAAGAAUUUAUCAUCUUCGGAACUCUACUGUUCCUCCACAUUUGAACAUACGGGCUCCACACACAGCUUUAAGAGCGGGUACAGCAAGGCACUCGAUGCUAGAAGGGAGUGAAUCUGGCAAGAAUCGGGACCAGGAGCUAUGACUAGACCCAUACAACCACAAAGUAACUUAACCUAUUUGCUCUGUUGUAAUACUAGACCUGUAAUAGCACAUGGACCACGGUUCAUGGACCAUGGUUCAUGGUCCACGGUUCAGAUCUCAAGCAUGGACCUGUUUAUUAACGGAUAUGCAUGCAUGUAUUUAUGAACAGAUGCAAAAGUAUCCGUGUAAGUAUAUAUGCAUCUUGGUAAA